GAGUCAGUAUGCUGGUCGUGCCACCGGUACGUACUGGUCUCACUGAUUCCUCCUUCCUGAAGAACCGUAAUGCCAUUAAUUUGGUGUUGCGGGGAAACAGGACUGUUACUUUGAAAAAAUUAGAGUGUUUAAAGCAAGCUAACGCUUGAAUACAUUAGCAUGGAAUAAUGAAAUAGGACGAUCGAUCCUAUUUUGUUGGUUUCUAGUAUUGACGUA
rnacentral:rRNA from 1 species